rnacentral:rRNA from 1 species
AUGGCGAGGAGCAUUGCUCUGGUCUGCUUCCUCGUCGUCGGUCUCGGCCUCUUGGGCGCCAUGUGCGCCUCGGCAGCUGCGGCGGGCGGCGAGAACGGAGGGCGGCUGGUGAACGCCGUGUACGUGUUCGGCGACUCGCUGGUGGACGUGGGCAACAACGACUACCUGCCGGCGCCGGCGCCCAGGGCGAACCGGCCGUACGGCAUGGACCUCCCCGGCAAGCCCACAGGCCGCUUCACCAACGGCUACAACCUCGCCGACGUCAUCUCACAACGUGUGGGGUUCGAGAUGAGCCCCAAGCCGUACCUCUCCAUGCUGCCGCACGACAAGAUCUUACUCGGCCUCUGCAAGAUCGGCGCCAACUAUGCUUCCGGUGGAUCCGGCAUCCUCGACACCACGGGAAAAGGGACGCUCACGAUGCGGACACAAGUCGAGUACUUCAAGAAAGCGGCGGACAACAUGAUUUGCUACCCAAGCAAGGAGGAGCACCUUUCGAGGUCCCUCUUCCUCCUCAGUGGCGGCGGCAAUGACUUCUCGGCCUUCGACCCCUCCAGCGCCAGCCCCCAGGCCUACGUCGUCAAGAUGGUCACCACCUACAUCGAGCACAUCCAGGCGCUCUACGACAUGGGGGCACGGAUGGUGGGGAUCCUCGAUGUGCCACCGAUCGGGUGCACGCCGGGGCAGAGGAUCGACAUGCCCAACGGCGAGUGCAACGAGCAGGCCAACUCCCUGGCGCAAGCAUUCAACGGCCUACUCAGGGCCAAGCUCGCCGAGGCCGCCGCUGCCAACAUGAAGGAACUCAAGUACUCCAUCGCCGCCAACUACAACAUCCUCAACGACAUGAUGGCCAACUCUCUCGUAGCUGGGCUGAGGCAGGUGAAGACGGCGUGCUGCGGUUCGGGGAAGCUCAACGCGGAGGUGAUGUGCAGCCACCAGGGCACGACGGCGUGCCCCGCCGCUGAGCACGACGACUACAUGUUCUGGGACAUGCUCCACCCCACUCACGCCACUAUCCAGCGCGGUGUCGUCGCCCUCUUCUACGGCAACGGCCCCAAGUACGGCGAGCCCGUCAACUUCGGCACGCUCGUCACGGGCCAGAACGUAUCUCCCGCGAUCAAGAUGGUCGUCGACGAGCAGUAG